ACGAAGCAGUGAUGUGGUGCAAAACUCAAAAAAGUAAGUCUCAGUUCGGAUUGAAGGCUGAAAUUCGCCUUCAUGAAGCCGGAAUUGCUAGUAAUGGCAGGUCAGCAUACUGCCGUGAAUACGUUCCCGGGCCUUGUACACACCGCCCGUCACACCAUGAGAGUUGGGAAUACCCGAAGCCUGUGAGCUAACGUUAAGAGGCAGCAGUCGAAGGUAGGUCGGAUGACUGGGGUGAAGUCGUAACAAGGUAGC
rnacentral:rRNA from 1 species